AGUUAGGCCACAGACUGGAGCCCUGGGAAGAUUGGCGAGUCGAGGUAUUUUGCACUUUUUAAUGUCUGUAUUUAUGGUAUAUCUGUGGGAUAUUACAGAGGGUUAGAGGUCUAAAAAUUACAUCACAUAAUGAGUUUCUUCAUCAAUCCUGCCUUCUAUCUUUUCUCUGUAGGUCCAGGUAUCAGUGUAAAGUCUGGAGUGGCUGGUAUUCUUGGAGCCCGUGGCUAUGGGGCAGGCAAGCCAGGUAAGUGACAUUAACCUCAGAUGAAGCUGAGAUGAAAAUAAGUACAAACAAUACAUAAAGAUUUAUAAUUAACCUUUGACUCAAC
ensembl:lncRNA